rnacentral:rRNA from 1 species
AGGAGGCGCCUUCGGGAGCCUCGCGCGGAAACGGGAAUAUGUCCUAUUAGGUAGUUGGCGGGGUAAAGGCCCACCAAGCCAAUGAUGGGUAGCUGGACUGAGAGGUUGAACAGCCGCAAUGGGAUUGAGAUAUGGCCCAUAUUCCUACGGGAAGCAGCAGUGAGGAAUUUUUCACAAUGGACGAAAGUCUGAUGGAGCAAUACCACGUGAGCGAUGAAGGUCUUCUGAUUGUAAAGCUCUUUUAUUUAGGAAAAAAAGCGCGCCAGGAAAUGGGCGCGCCUUGAUGGUACUAAUUGAAUAAGUGACAGCUAACUAUGUGCCAGCAGCUGCGGUAAAACAUAGGUCACAAGCGUUAUCCGGAUUUAUUGGGCGUAAAGGAAGCGUAGGCGGGGAGGUUGAUCCAUUGUUAAAAGCAUUUGCUCAACAAAUGUGUGCGAUGGAGAUCGCCUCCCUAGAGUUAAUCAGGGGGUACUGGAAUUCAAUGUGUAGCGGUGGAAUGCGUAGAUAUAUUGAGGAACACCAGAGGCUAAGGCGAGUACCUGGGAUAUAACUGACGCUGAGGCUUGAAAGCGUGGGGAGCAAAUGGGAUUAGAUACCCCAGUAGUCCACGCCGUAAACGAUGAGCAUUAGGUAUUUGACGUUAUGUCGAGUGCUGUAGCUAACGCGUUAAAUGCUCCGCCUGGGUAGUAUAUAUGCAAAUAUGAAACUCAAAGAAAUUGACGGGGACCUGAACAAGUGGUGGAGCAUGUUGCUUAAUUCGAUAAUACACGAAAAACCUUACCAAGGCUUGUUAUCUACUGCAAAACUAUAGAAAUAUGGUGGAGUAUAUCAGUAAGACAGGUGGUGCAUGGCUGUCGUCAGCUCGUGUCUUGAGAUGUUUGGUUAAGUCCCGUAACGAGCGCAACCCUACUCUCUAGUUAAUUAGUUCUAGAGUGACUGAAUCGUAAGAUAUAGGAAGGAUGGGGCCAAGUCAAGUCA